UGGGGAAUAUUGGGCAAUGGAGGCAACUCUGACCCAGCAACGCCGCGUGAAUGAAGAAGGUCUUCGGAUUGUAAAGUUCUUUAGUGAGGGACGAAUAAAUGACGGUACCUCGAGAAUAAGCCACGACUAACUACGUGCCAGCAGUCGCGGUAAUACGUAGGUGGCAAGCGUUGUCCGGAAUUACUGGGCGUAAAGGGAGCGUAGGCGGUUAAUUAAGUUAGAUGUGAAAUACCCGGGCUUAACUUGGGGGGUGCAUCUAAUACUGGUAAACUAGAGUACAGGAGAGGAAAGCGGAAUUCCUAGUGUAGCGGUGAAAUGCAUAGAUAUUAGGAGGAACAUCGGUGGCGAAGGCGGCUUUCUGGACUGACACUGACGCUGAGGCUCGAAAGCGUGGGGAGCAAACAGGAUUAGAUACCCUGGUAGU
rnacentral:rRNA from 1 species